UCGUCACACUAUCAUUAACUGAAUCCAUAGGUUAAUGAGGCGAACCGGGGGAACUGAAACAUCUAAGUACCCCGAGGAAAAGAAAUCAACCGAGAUUCCCCCAGUAGCGGCGAGCGAACGGGGAGGAGCCCAGAGCCUGAAUCAGCAUGUGUGUUAGUGGAAGCGUCUGGAAAGGCGCGCGAUACAGGGUGACAGCCCCGUACACAAAAGCGCAUGUGCUGUGAGCUCGAUGAGUAGGGCGGGACACGUGGUAUCCUGUCUGAAUAUGGGGGGACCAUCCUCCAAGGCUAAAUACUCCUGACUGACCGAUAGUGAACCAGUACCGUGAGGGAAAGGCGAAAAGAACCCCGGCGAGGGGAGUGAAAAAGAACCUGAAACCGUGUACGUACAAGCAGUGGGAGCACCCUUUUGGGUGUGACUGCGUACCUUUUGUAUAAUGGGUCAGCGACUUAUAUUCUGUAGCAAGGUUAACCG
rnacentral:rRNA from 2 species